rnacentral:rRNA from 2 species
AUCGAUAAGCUUGAUAUCCACUGUGGAAUUCGCCCUUUUCCGGUUGAUCCUGCCGGACCUGACUGCUAUCGGAAUGAUACUAAGCCAUGCGAGUCAUUGUAGCAAUACAAGGCAGACGGCUCAGUAACGCGUAGUCAAUCUACCCUGUGGACGGGAAUAACCUCGGGAAACUGAGAAUAAUACCCGAUAGAACAUUAUGCCUGGAAUGGUUUAUGUUUCAAAUGAUUUAUCGCCAUAGGAUGGGACUGCGGCCUAUCAGUUUGUUGGUGAGGUAAUGGCCCACCAAGACUAUUACAGGUACGGGCUCUGAGAGGAGUAGCCCGGAGAUGGGUACUGAGACACGGACCCAGGCCCUAUGGGGCGCAGCAGGCGAGAAAACUUUGCAAUGUGCGAAAGCACGACAAGGUUAAUCCGAGUGGUUUCUGCUAAAGAAACCUUUUGCCAGUCCUAGAAACACUGGUGAAUAAGGGGUGGGCAAGUUCUGGUGUCAGCCGCCGCGGUAAAACCAGCACCUCAAGUGGUCAGGAUGAUUAUUGGGCCUAAAGCAUCCGUAGCUCGUUUUGUAAGUUUUCGGUUAAAUCCAUGCGCUCAACGUAUGGGCUGCCGGGAAUACUGCAUAACUAGGAAGUGGGAGAGGUAGACGGUACUCGGUAGGAAGGGGUAAAAUCCUUUGAUCUAUUGAUGACCACCUGUGGCGAAGGCGGUCUACCAGAACACGUUCGACGGUGAGGGAUGAAAGCUGGGGGAGCAAACCGGAUUAGAUACCCGGGUAGUCCCAGCUGUAAACUAUGCAAACUCAGUGAUGCAUUGGCUUGUGGCCAAUGCAGUGCUGCAGGGAAGCCGUUAAGUUUGCCGCCUGGGAAGUACGUACGCAAGUAUGAAACUUAAAGGAAUUGGCGGGGGGAGCACCACAAGGGGGUGAAGCCUGCGGUUCAAUUGGAGUCAACGCCAGAAAUCUUACCCGGAGAGACAGCAGAAUGAAGGUCAAGCUGAAGACUUUACCAGAC